rnacentral:ribozyme from 1 species
UUUAUAGAGGUUUUGUGUAACAGGAUAGGAUCCGAAGUCUCCUGAAGAUUCCAUCCAACUCCUAUUCCGACACGUCCACGUUGUGCAGGGUGGUAACAUAGGCUUAAAUUCAACGUUUUGGACGGGUGACGGCUCUUGGCUAAGGAGGAAGGA